rnacentral:rRNA from 1 species
AGUGAACGCUGGCGGUAGGCCUAACACAUGCAAGUCGAACGGCAGCACAGUAAGAGCUUGCUCUUACGGGUGGCGAGUGGCGGACGGGUGAGGAAUACAUCGGAAUCUACUUUUUCGUGGGGGAUAACGUAGGGAAACUUACGCUAAUACCGCAUACGACCUACGGGUGAAAGCAGGGGAUCUUCGGACCUUACGCGAUUGAAUGAGCCGAUGUCGGAUUAGCUAGUUGGCGGGGUAAAGGCCCACCAAGGCGACGAUCCGUAGCUGGUCUGAGAGGAUGAUCAGCCACACUGGAACUGAGACACGGUCCAGACUCCUACGGGAGGCAGCAGUGGGGAAUAUUGGACAAUGGGCGCAAGCCUGAUCCAGCCAUACCGCGUGGGAGAAGAAGGCCUUCGGGUUGUAAAGCCCUUUUGUUGGGAAAGAAAAGCAGCAGGUUAAUACCCCGCUGUUCUGACGGUACCCAAAGAAUAAGCACCGGCUAACUUCGUG